UGUAUAGUGCUUUCUUUGUGGUGUUUGGUGUUUUUUGCCCCCAACGUCUCUUUUUAGGCAGCGCGGCAAUGGUUACGUUUAGGGUUAGGGUUAACUGCCUGCCGUUGGAGGCAAAAAACACCA